rnacentral:misc_RNA from 1 species
UCCUGGUUUCCCAGGCAGUCCCAUCAGAGUGCCCCACUUUCGUAGUGGCAACUGACGGCAAGGGUUGCGCUCGUUAGAGGACUUAACCCAACAUCUCACGACACGAGCUGACGACAGCCAUGCAGCACCUGUGUAAAUGUCUGGACCGAAGCCCAGAAAACCACGUUUCCAUGGCGGUCAUAAACAUGUCAAGCCUAGGUAAGGUUCCUCGCGUAGUGUCGAAUUAAACCACAUGUUCCACCGCUUGUGCGAGCCCCCGUCAAUUCCUUUGAGUUUUAAUCUUGCGACCGUAAUUCCCAGGCGGAUCACUUAACGCGUUAGCUACGACACUAAUUCCGUAAAACGGAACUAACGUCUAGUGAUCAUCGUUUACAGCGUGGACUAC